rnacentral:tRNA from 1 species
GUCCCUGUAGCUCAAUUGGAUAGAGCGUUGGCCUCCGGAGCCAAAGGUUGGAGGUUCGAGCCCUCUCAGGGACG